rnacentral:tRNA from 1 species
GGAGGCAUAGCUCAAAGGUAGAGUGCAGGUUUGUCAUAUCUGUGGUUGUGGGUUCGAAUCCCACUGUCUUCG